rnacentral:rRNA from 1 species
CUACGGGGCGCUCCAGUGGGGAAUAUUGCACAAUGGAGGAAACUCUGAUGCAGCAACGCCGCGUGGAGGAUGACACUUUUCGGAGCGUAAACUCCUUUUAUAUAGGAAGAAGAUGACGGUACUAUAUGAAUAAGCGCCGGCUAACUCCGUGCCAGCAGCCGCGGUAAUACGGAGGGCGCAAGCGUUACUCGGAAUCACUGGGCGUAAAGGGCGUGUAGGCGGAUUAAAAAGUCAGAAGUGAGAUCCUAUAGCUUAACUAUAGAACUGCUUCUGAAACUCUUAAUCUAGAAUAUGGGAGAGGUAGAUGGAAUUUCUGGUAUAGGGGUAAAAUCCGUAGAGAUCAGAAGGAAUACCGAUUGCGAAGGCGAUCUACUAGAACAUUAUUGACGCUGAGACGCGAAAGCGUGGGGAGCAAACAGGAUUAGAUACCCGGGUAGUC